UCCUCGUUAGUAUAGUGGACAGUAUCUCCGCCUGUCACGCGGAAGACCGGGGUUCGAUCGGGGUAACUCCCGGGGUA